UCCUACGGGAGGCAGCAGUGGGGAAUAUUGGACAAUGGGCGAAAGCCUGAUCCAGCCAUGCCGCGUGUGUGAAGAAGGUCUUCGGAUUGUAAAGCACUUUAAGUUGGGAGGAAGGGCAGUUACCUAAUACGUGAUUGUUUUGACGUUACCGACAGAAUAAGCACCGGCUAACUCCGUGCCAGCAGCCGCGGUAAUA
rnacentral:rRNA from 1 species